rnacentral:lncRNA from 1 species
UAUGUGGUCAUGCAGGAUGGAUUUUUAUGAAUCUACUCACCUUUGCAGGCCCAGAAAUAUUUUUCCAAGAUGGAAGACAGUGUUCAUUCUUGAAUUCCAUCUGUGUGGAACUAUUAGCUAAGGGAGAUAAGAGGGGAGAGUGCCUGUGUGCAGUGCUCUCAAAGUGUGGUUGUUACAUAGAAAUGCAGAGAAAAAGUAGAAGGUAGUUUGGAUUUUGACCUUCAAAAGGUCUCAACA